GACGGAGGAUGCAAGUGUUAUCCGGAAUCACUGGGCGUAAAGCGUCUGUAGGUGGUCAAAUAAGUCAACUGUUAAAUCUUGAGGCUCAACCUCAAAAUCGCAGUCGAAACUAUUAGACUAGAGUAUAGUAGGGGUAAAGGGAAUUUCCAGUGGAGCGGUGAAAUGCGUAGAGAUCGGGAGGAACAUCAGUUGCGAAGGCGGCUCUCUGGACCAGCACUGACACUGAGGCACGAAAGCGUGGGGAGCAAACAGG
rnacentral:rRNA from 1 species